rnacentral:rRNA from 1 species
AUGGAGGGGCUUGCAGCAAUGUGGCUGCAGGCAUUUCGUCAGACACAUCCCGGGCUUACUUGGCCAACCUUCCAAGCUGCAGUUGAGGAAGAAUUUGGGUAUGAGGAGUUUGAGGUCCAAAUGCAUCGUUUUGUGCAGUUGCGGCAGACUGGGACAGUGCAAGAGUAUCGCCAACAGUUCGAGACAUCCAUGUACCAUCUAAUGGCACUCGACCCAUCGCUGAGCUCCAAAUUUUUUGUCUCGCAAUUUCUGCUUGGGUUGAAGGACGAACUCCGAUUGGGCGUCAGGCUGCAGUCACCGAACAUCAUUACUUGCGCAGCGGUGUUCGCCCGGAUUCAAGAAGAGAAACUGGAGAAACAAAGAGUACCGCGCCACCGCACAGCCCCAGGGGGCUGA